GGCGCCGUACCCAAGUGGUAAGGGAGCGGUCUGCAAAACCGUUAUUCAUCAGUUCAAUUCUGAUCGGCGCCU
rnacentral:tRNA from 1 species